UCCUACGGGAGGCAGCAGUGGGGAAUAUUGCACAAUGGGUGAAAGUCUGAAGCAGCAAGCGGUGAGAGGUAGAUGUAAAAGCCGUAUAUAGCAGCUGCGCGUACAGUCAUGAAGGCCUUCGGGUAGUAAAGCCCUGUCUUCACGGACGAUAAUGACGGUACUCGAGGAGGAAGCCACGGCUAACUACGUGCCAGCAGCCGCGGUAAU
rnacentral:rRNA from 1 species